UACGGGGGGGGCAAGCGUUGUUCGGAAUUACUGGGCGUAAAGGGCUCGUAGGUGGCCAACUAAGUCAGACGUGAAAUCCCUCAGCUUAACUGGGGAACUGCGUCUGAUACUGGAUGGCUUGAGUUUGGGAGAGGGACGCGGAAUUCCAGGUGUAGCGGUGAAAUGCGUAGAUAUCUGGAGGAACACCGGUGGCGAAGGCGGCAUCCUGGACCGAGAUUGACGCUGAUGCGCGAAAGCCAGGGGAGCAAACGGG
rnacentral:rRNA from 1 species